CAAUAUUUCUCCAAAAAAAGCUUUAACAAAUGAAAGUACAUAAACAAUACAGUGGACCGGCAUUGGGAUAUUGCCAACAUUGUCCUUUUCCACCGGGGUGUUGUUGAUAACAUUUUUGUUGGCAAUCAGGUGGAGUACAAUCGAGGGGGUCCACCACAUCUCUGCAUAUUAAUUGUCCACUGACCAUUGAAACUCCAACUACAAAUGAAAAACAAUCAGUAUAAAAUAAAUAUAAUACUAUGGAAGAUAAAAAUAGAUAUAAACUACAAUAACGUUUUAAAUCUACAGUGGACCUAUUAAAAUAGUUGGACGGUAACAAUAACUAUACACCUACAUGAUAUGCUUUAAGCCAAAAUUAAAUUUUUUUUGUUUGAUAUAUAAAUAUAUUUAUAAUGAACUUCCUUCCAAAUAUAUUAUCAAAUUAAAGUGCAAUUUUACAACAUAGUUAUAGAUAUAGAAAUAAUUGAAUUGACAAACCUGCUACAACAACAACAAAGAAUAAUAAGUAUGCAAGCUUGACCAUUUUUAUGUGUGCAGAAUCACUCACAAUCACCUCACCAGGUGAUUUCUAAAUGUUUUU
rnacentral:lncRNA from 1 species